AGUUGUCAAGACGACUGUGAACAGAAUAAUUCUGAAGAGAAGGAAAAGAGGAAAAAGCAUGAAGGACAAGGAAAAGUAAGAAGAGAAGAAAGAGUAGAAGAAGUAGGAGGAAGAAGAGAAGGAGUGGACAACUAAGGAUGGACCCAACAUUCAGAGGAAAAGCCAGUAAAAUUGGUCUUUAAUUUAUGCCAGAAGCAGAACUGUGUUCAAUUUGAAGCCAUAAAGACAAAGGUCGUGAAAUGCAUAAUGGGAAUUGAUGAAGGCUAUAUGAAAAACCUUGGCCACAGAA